GGCCCCGCCCAUCCGGGGACAAGCCACGCCCCCAUCCUCCGGUCCGGCCCUUCGGCCGGUCGGAGCAGCGCGUGACGCGGCACGUAGAGCGAGGGGCGGGGCCAUGGCUCAUCCGAGGCGGGGCAGCGCAUCCCUUCAACGGCCUCCGCAGCUGAGGAGCCGCCACCGCAGGCAGACUUCUUGUUCCAGUGCUGGUCAACAGUGAUAGUGAUGUCACUAGUCCAUUGCAUGCAGGGAUGUCUGAGGGUGAGCAGAAAAUGAAGCCACUUUAGACAAUAACUUCAGCUGCCUAUAAAUGAACAUCAAAACACAGGGAAUGUUCCAGCCAUCGAUGGAUAGAACCCUUUGAUUUUGGUUAAAUUCAGAAAACUGGAAGGAGAAAAUGGGGGACACAUGGAGCCUCCGGCAUCUGCAUUGCCACGGCUGUCUGCCCAGCAGACCUGGUUACAAGAGCCAGAGGGAUGGUGGUAGUCACAGGGCAGAACAAAGCCAGUGGAAAUCUGGACGAUGCCAUGUCGAGUUCAGAUGCAGAGGAUGAUUUCCAAGACCCUGCCACUCCUACUGCAACUCAGGCAGGGCACUCGCUGCCUCUGCUGCCUCAACAGUUCCCAGAAGUCGUUCCGCUUAAUGUAGGAGGCAUGUAUUUCGCUACCAGGCUGUCAACACUAAGACGCUAUGAAGAUACCAUGUUGGCUGCUAUGUUUAGUGGAAGACACUACAUUCCAACAGAUGCUCAAGGGAGAUAUUUUAUUGACAGAGAUGGAACUUACUUUGGAGACAUUCUUAACUUUCUGCGAUCUGGUGAUCUGCCACCGAGAGAACGGGUGAGGUCAGUUUACAAGGAAGCUCAAUAUUAUUCCAUAGGACCAUUGCUGGACAAUCUAGAGGAAGUCCAGCCUCUUAAAGGAGAAAAAGUUAGACAAGCUUUCCUGGGUUUAAUGCCAUAUUACAAAGAACACUUGGAGCGGAUAAUUGAAAUAGCUAAGCUUAGAGCCAUGCAGAGAAAAGCAAGAUUUGCAAAGUUGAAGAUCUGUGUUUUCAAGGAAGAAAUGCCUAUCACCCCAUAUGAGUGUCCACUUUUCAACUCUCUACGUUUUGAAAGAAGUGAAAGUGAGACAAAGCUAUUUGAACAUCACUGUGAAGUAGAUGUCUCUUUUGGCCCCUGGGAGGCUGUAGCUGAUGUAUACGAUCUUCUGCACUGUAUUGUGACAGACCUGUCCGACAAGGGAAUUACUGUGGAUCAUCAGUGCAUUGGUGUGUGCGAUAAACAUCUGAUAAACCAUUAUUACUGCAAGCGCCCCAUCUAUGAAUUCAAGAUUACUUGGUGAUCCAAUGAUAAUUCCACAUGAUUCUGAAAUGGAAGCUGGAUGGUGAGACUUUAGAAGCCAAGCCCUGAAAAACAAAAUUAAGUUACAUGAUGAAUAUUCCUGUUGUCCUCCCUGCUUGUAGCAAUAAGAAAUGUAAUUGUUGACUUAGUAAUUAAUCUUUAAAGAUUACUCCAAUUACCAGCUAAUGUGUCUCUGCAGCACAUUUUCUUUUAGACUGAAAGAGGCUAUCCCAGGAUCAUCUUUCUUCCCUGAAAGUGAUAGUUGAAAUACUGAAAUUUGUAAAUGUCUCUGUUGAAAGUUCAAAUACAUAAUUUUAUCCAAAAUGUAGGAAUAUAUUUAAAUCCUGGAAACAUUACUAUAAUAUGGAGUAUCUCAAAUCAUCUCCACUAUUUCAAGAAAGUCACUUGGGUUGGCCUCAAAAUUUAAUCUUGGAAAUAUUAAUGUAAAUUGUAGGCCCUCAUGUUACAUUUAAUUGGGUUGAUUAAUCUAAUUUGUUGAUCAAAAAGAUCUUUGGGAAGGCAACUUGCAUUUAAGAUGUUUAUCAAGAAUUUCAGUAAGAAUCUUUGAAUAGCAUGUUCUGAACAAAAAAAUGGAUUAGCUCUCACCCGUACUGUUUAAUUUAGGAGAUUACAGUAAAUCUUCUUUAUAAGGCUGCACUUGGGAGCUCAUGACUUUGUGUAUCUUUGUAAAGGAACAUUGUCAAGUGCUCAGGUUUAGGAUUUGAAUUUAGGUUUUAGAAAGGAGAAGGGAAAAGGGAGAGGAUAAAAACAUGUCUUUGAAUCUUUAUUUAAAGGUUAAGAUUCCCCUUCAGUCUGAGGAAAAACCACCACCACCCUGCUAGUGCAUGAGAAUCUAAAACUGAAACACUCUAGAAAUGGCAAAUGAAACUAACCAAGGUAGUUUCACUAAAGCCUGGUCUGCACUACAGAGUUAUGAAUGACGAUUUCAGUGAGAUCCUGCUCCCCUCCUCCCCCCUUCCAGUUUUCCAGCUGUAAGAGGCAUAAGGAGAUCAAGUGACUAGCCUGAGGACACACAUUGAGGUAAUGACUGUGACUGGAUUCGUCCUUGUUCCCUGCCCUUUGUUCUAACCUCUACACAUCAUACAUAUAUAGUCUACUUAAACUUCCUAAACCUAGAGCAUUUAUCUUGUAUGCAGAAGUUUCAACAUCUAUAUUGAGAGCCAGAAUACACUGCCUUCAUUUAAAAAAUCCCUGGAAGUUAUCGGUUGGCAACUGGCAGUUGCUAUAGAGAUCCUGAAGAGGUGUCCUUGAGUCAAACAGAGUCAUCUUAUUUUUGUUGCUCCCCUCCUCCUUUGCAUCUCCCUUUGUUUCACCACACUCCUUUUAUUCCCUAUAGAGCAUUAGUCAUUAAAGUAACAUCAAUGUACACAAUCAGUUCAUAGUUUUUGCAGGUUGUUUUUAGGAAUACAAUGAAUUUAGGCCAAGGAUGCCCAUACUUUGGGAUUCUGAGGGGCUUACUGGUGGACUUGACAGAUCCUGAGGACUACAUCAUAUCUAUGUCUCUUCCUGUUCUUCAUCUUAAAUUAGGACUUGAUUCUACAAACCUGGUAGGUUGUGAUCUUUUGGCCUCAGCCAGCAAUAGUGGUCACGAGCUACACUCUUCCCCCAGCUGUAUCUUCACAGGUCACCCUGGCUUAUGGAUGACCUGGGGAAAAUGACAUGAUAGGGAAGACAGAUGCUCUGGUGGUGAAAGUCUCAUGCCAAAGCUGAUAGUUUGCAUCAUACAGAUUUCUUCAAUUCUCAUGCUGUGGUAGUGCAGGAGGCAAAUAAAUGUUUAUCUCCAUCAUAGCAUCUGUGAAGUCUGUUGGUGGAUCAGUUCCUGGUGGUGGAUAGCUUAGCUAAUCUGGGUUGUCUACACCUGGUUACCAAUGUGAGUCCUGUCUGUUGUAAGGUAAUGCAGGUCUUCUGGGGGUAAAAUGGAUCGGAUUUGGACUAAAGUAGGUCAAUGGAGGCAGGGUUUCCCCUGCUUGAGUUUCAGCCAAGGUCGCUUAGAGUUUGUGGAUGCGUUGGAAGAACUUCAUGCCAUAUCCUGUGCUUAGGAUCCUUGUGCUUCCUGGGUGGAAAAACUCAGUGCAGAAGUACUGGGUCAUACAACUGAUCACCAGCCAGAAAGGGCAAUGAUACAAAGCACAGAAUAUAGCAUGAAGUUCUCCCAACACAUCCAGAGCCUCUGUGAGCUAGCGCCCAGGACACUUUGGACACAGCUGGCCUAAGUAAUCACUGGCAGUACUGAACCUUGUAGUUAUGCUGAUCUAUAUGGUUACUUACAGCUUCAAAAAAGAAUACAUUUUUGUGAUGCUUUUUAGAUUGUCCCUUGUGCUAUAGAGGAGAUCUAAGAUGGUUUUACAUCUUCUAAUUGUUUAAAAUUUUUAAAAACAAACCCUCAAGGUUGUUUCAUUUUUCUUUCUGUGAAUAAACUGAGUCUGAUCUGGGAAUUAUAUUUAUUUAUUUUAUACAGAUCUUCAGAUGGAUGUUACUUUCCAGGACAAGAAUUUAUGGUCAUUUUACUUUCACAGGUUUAGUAUGAGUUUACAGAUAGUGCUUCAGUGGGACUUUUAUAAGAGGAUUUGUAUUUUGUCAUGUUACAUUUUGUCAGCAAGAUGUUGUCUCUGUGCAUUAUAAUCCUGAAUGCCUUUGAAAAAGCAAUCCUAGAUACUGAUCGGAAGUUGGAGAUACAAAU